UACGUAGGGUGCAAGCGUUGUCCGGAAUUAUUGGGCGUAAAGAGCUCGUAGGCGGUUUGUUGCGUCGGCUGUGAAAUCCCGAGGCUCAACUGCGGGUCUGCAGUCGAUACGGGCAGGCUAGAGUUCGGUAGGGGAGACUGGAAUUCCUGGUGUAGCGGUGAAAUGCGCAGAUAUCAGGAGGAACACCGGUGGCGAAGGCGGGUCUCUGGGCCGAUACUGACGCUGAGGAGCGAAAGCGUGGGGAGCGAACAGG
rnacentral:rRNA from 1 species